rnacentral:rRNA from 1 species
UAAGAGCAUAUGGUGGAUGCCUUGGCGAAUAGAGGCGAUGAAGGACGUGUUACGCUGCGAUAAGCGUCGGUUAGCUGCGAAAAAGCUUUGAUCCGACGAUUUCCGAAUGGGGAAACCCGGCUAUUUAUAGUCAUCUUUAACUGAAUACAUAGGUUAGGGAAGCGAACUCAGGGAACUGAAACAUCUAAGUACCUGAAGGAAAGGACAUCAACCGAGACUCCGUUAGUAGUGGCGAGCGAACGCGGACCAGGCCAGUGGCCGGUUAAGAAAAAUUAGAAUGCAAUGGAAAGUGCAACCAUAGUGGGUGAUAGUCCCGUAUAAGUAACUUCUUUUCCGGUCCUCGAGUAGGGCGGAACACGUGAAAUUCUGUCUGAACAUGGGGGGACCACCCUCCAAGCCUAAGUACUCCUAUUCGACCGAUAGUGAACAAGUACCGUGAGGGAAAGGUGAAAAGCACCCCGAUAAGGGGAGUGAAAUAGAUCCUGAAACCGUAUGCUUACAAUCAGUGGGAGCACCUAUAUGGUGUGACCGCGUACCUUUUGUAUAAUGGGCCAACGACUUAAUUUAUCAUGCAAGCUUAAGCCGAUAGGUGUAGGCGAAGCGAAAGCGAGUCUUAAUAGGGCGAUUUAGUAUGAUGUAUUAGACCCGAAACCGAGUGAUCUAGUUAUGGGCAGGUUGAAGGUGCAGUAACAUGCACUGGAGGACCGAACCCACUUAUGUUGAAAAAUGAGGGGAUGACCUGUGACUAGGGGUGAAAGGCCAAUCAAACUCGGAGAUAGCUGGUUCUCCGCGAAAUCUAUUUAGGUAGAGCGUCGGAUCAAUACCAACGGGGGUAGAGCACUGGAUGGAUGCGGGGGACGCGAGUCUUACCAAUUCUAACCAAACUCCGAAUACCGUUGAGUAAUAUCCGGCAGACACACUACGGGUGCUAAGGUCCGUAGUGGAGAGGGAAACAGCCCUGACCGACAGCUAAGGUCCCAAAGUCAUGUCUAAGUGGGAAAGCAUGUGAGAAGGCCAAAACAACCAGGAGGUUGGCUUAGAAGCAGCCACCCUUUAAAGAAAGCGUAACAGCUCACUGGUCUAAUAGCCAUCUUGCGGCGAAGAUGUAACGGGGCUAAAGACAUGCACCGAAGCUUCGGAUUCAAUACUAUGUAUUGAGUGGUAGCGGAGCGUUCUGUAAGCCUGUGAAGGGUUAUCCGCGAGGAGACCUGGAGGUAUCAGAAGCGCGAAUGUUGGCAUGAGUAACGAUAAAGAGUGUGAGAGACACUCUCGCCGAAAAUCCAAGGGUUCCUGCGUUAAGCUAAUCUACGCAGGGUUAGCCGGUCCCUAAGGCAAGGCCGAAAGGCGUAGUCGAUGGGAACUCAGUUUAAUAUUACUGGGCCAGAUGAGAAGUGACGGAUGGUGUAAGUUGUUCCUCCUUAAUGGAUUGGAGGGGCUGCGAAACUGUCCCAGGAAAUAGCCUCAUCAUUAAUGACCGUACCCCAAACCGACACAGGUGGAUAGGUAGAGAAUACCAAGGCGCUUGAGAGAACGAUGUUGAAGGAACUCGGCAAAUUGCCUCCGUAACUUCGGGAGAAGGAGGCCCUCAUAGAAGGCAACUUUUAUGAGGGGGCACAGACCAGGGGGUGGCGACUGUUUACUAAAAACACAGGACUCUGCAAAGUCGAAAGACGAAGUAUAGGGUCUGACGCCUGCCCGGUGCCGGAAGGUUAAGAGGAGUGGUUAGCUUCGGCGAAGCCAUGAAUUGAAGCCCCGGUAAACGGCGGCCGUAACUAUAACGGUCCUAAGGUAGCGAAAUUCCUUGUCGGGUAAGUUCCGACCUGCACGAAUGGCGUAACGACUUCCGCACUGUCUCAACCAGAGACUCAGCGAAAUUGAAUUCUCGGUGAAGAUGCCGAGUACCCGUGGCAAGACGGAAAGACCCCGUGAACCUUCACUACAGCUUGACACUGACUCUUGGGCAAUUUUGUGUAGCAUAGGUGGGAGACUGUGAGAUCUGGGCGCUAGCUUGGAUGGAGUCGCCGUUGAAAUACCACCCUGAAUUGUCUGAGUGUCUAACCGUGGCCCGUUAUCCGGGUCCGGGAAACUGUCUGGUGGGUAGUUUGACUGGGGCGGUCGCCUCCUAAAGCGUAACGGAGGCGCGCGAAGGUUCCCUCAGACUGAUUGGAAACCAGUCG